GGAUUAGAUACCCUGGUAGUCCACGCCGUAAACGAUGUCGACUAGCCGUUGGGUCCCUUGAGGACUUAGUGGCGCAGUUAACGCGAUAAGUCGACCGCCUGGGGAGUACGGCCGCAAGGUUAAAACUCAAAUGAAUUGACGGGGGCCCGCACAAGCGGUGGAGCAUGUGGUUUAAUUCGAAGCAACGCGAAGAACCUUACCAGGUCUUGACAUACUAGGAUUAAUUCGGUGAAAGCCGUUGGAUUGCCCUCACGGGUGUAACUAGUACAGGUGCUGCAUGGCUGUCGUCAGCUCGUGCCG
rnacentral:rRNA from 1 species